UUCAAUAGGCACUUUCAUACCGGAGGAACCUUAUCACAGUUUGGACAUCAAAUUUACUUGCAAUUAUAAAAUCACCCAUGUGUUUCCCCUUUGAAUUACAGUUGCUAUAAGAUAUUAUAAUAUAAGAUAAUAUUUUCACCUCUUCACAAUGUCAUCCACUUGUGUUAUGAUGUCAGUGAUCCAGUCUUCAGCUUUCUUCAGAGGAUCCGAACAGCAGUUGUGUUUCAAUAGCUUGAUCUCUGAUCAGACGCUCCAGCUUUGGGAAUCCUCCCAGACUCAGGAAAGUCAGGUGAUAAAGGAGAGCCGUUCGCUCCGCAGAUGGAAGAAGCUCCUGAAUGAAAUCUGCUUUCAUUAUAGCAUUGUCUUCGGCAAUCUCUGAAAUAUUUCAAACAUUUGUGAUGGUUAACACCCAUUGGCAUUCAAUAGCUAAUGGAUGAAAAAGCAUACUGUACAAAUAAAAGGCUAUUCUGGUUUGAACUUGUUUUAAUCAGUACACUCAAACAAAAAAAAAAAAAAACUUCUUGGUUGGUUUCAACCCAUGGAUUGAAACCAAGUCAGCAAUUGGUAGGGAAAAUUUUUGUAGUGUAAGGAUCCAAAAUAUGCACUACUAGGGACUCCCUGCAGAACUGGGACAAGAAUCACAGUCAUAACAUUUUAAAGGGAACUCACCCUAUUUCCAAGGCCCUGGUUACACCUGUUAUCAAGAUGCAUAUUGGUUAAUCGGAUCACAAGUGGACGAAGGAGACACGUACAUGUUUACACCUGCUGUCUCUUUUGUCCACUUUCAACCACUUCUGUCCUGAUUACUUGGAGGGGAGGAUUUAUGGGUGAGCAAAUGAAUGGGCGCAUACAAUUUACAUAUAAACGUGACCGGAGACGGCAGAAAAACAUACUGACAGCAGCGGUUUUCAUUUAUGCAGUGUGUGUUAGAAAUCCAGAAUGGUGAGAGAACAUUGUUUUGGAAAGGAUAAACGUACCAAGCACAAACUUAUCUCUUAGCUGAAAAUGUUGUAAUCCUGUCUGGCUUGCGUGCUUUUGUGGCUGUUUGGACACAUUCGACCACAUGAGCGUCUACACCAUGAACACAAUCCGGUCGAAUACAUUUUCAGCUACCUCUGGAAGUGGUUGAAAGUGGACAAGCUCAAAACUUUUCACACCCCGUGAUUAGCGUCGUCCAACAAAGACAGGAACCCCCUAUAUGAGGGCUGCCCCCCCAUCAGAAAAAUGCAAAAAAAAAAAAAAAACACCUAAAAUUAUGAAUGUGAAUCAUAAAUGAGUAUAAUAGGUGUAGGUAUAAUAAGAAGUCAAACGAGCGUGGAAACCAAACGGGGGACAAGGAGCUUCAGUAGAACAUCAGUGAACUGCAGUUAGAUGAGAUGCUGUCAGGCCAUAUGUCAGUGAACAUGAAUCUUCCUGUCCUGCCAGCCAUUAUACUGUACUCAUAGCACAUGCUCUAAGAAGUGCAUGCAUAAAUGUGCUGGUGCGGGCUGUAAUUAAAGCGCUAUAUCAUAUUCAAACCCAAAUUAAACUACGAGUAUGCAACAUUGUAGUUAUGUCUUCAGUUAAGUCAUGAAGUUACAAAACAUGGUGAUUAAAGCUGCCUUAAAACUGUGCACGCAAGUAUUAAUUUGUCACAUUUACAGCAGUGUCAGAGCCGAAUCAAGUCCAGCAGCGGCAGUUCUUAAAGUAGCAGCAAAAAUAAACUAAUAUCCAGCUGCUGUGAUGUCUGUCAAUCAAAGAACAAAAUUAAAAAGAGGAAAUCAAUAACUUAUGUAGUUUUUAGCUUUAUUUUUAUUAAACUUUAUUAAAUUAGGCUAUAUUUUCUUGCUGAAGGGCACAGGUAGCUAUAGGCUAUAUGACAUUUAUUAUAAUGGGUUUAUGUGAAUAUUGUUAUAAGUUCACUUAAAUUAGAAGUUAUUUUUCUUAUAAGCCUUAUAAAUGUUAAAUUGAUAGUUCUCAAUUAUACUGUAAUGUUGAGUAGUUAUAAUCAAUGGUUUAAUAUUAGGGAAAAAAUCCAUACAUCAGUUGGUAUCAGUGAUACUUUCCUGAUGGCAUUAAACAAAUAUAAAAAAAUAUACUUUGUUGUUUCUACAUUAAUUUGAAGAUUGAAUAUGAAAUUAUUGCACUAUAAAAGUAUAAUUAAAAACGUUAAUGUUAGGUGGGAUUUUCUGGUCAACUAGUAGUCGUUCACUGUGUACGUGCAUGUGUGCAUGUUUUCAUACGGAUUACAUGAUCAGAUAAUUUGCUUUCCAUUUAAAUUGGUUCAUUUAAAAGUAGACAUUUCACUCUCUAUAGAUAUAUUUUUUUAUGUCUGUAAGCAAAGAUAUACACAGAGUUUUGCACUCAAGUUCACAGGCAGAGGCAGCAGAAAGCACAUCCCUUUUGCUUUCAUUAUUUUUUAUUUAUUUUUGUAUUUUUUAUUUUUUGCUGAAUAUGAUGUUAAGUGGCAGAUCAGUGGGCUUGCAGCGGUUGAAUAUCUAAAUAAGAGACAUCCUCAGUCCCACACCAAACCUAAAAUACUAUGUGCAGGACGCAAAAUAAUUUAAUAUUUAUAAUAUGACCGCGUGAUGAGCCUAAGAACCGAACUGAUAUUUAACUCUUUCCCCACCAGCACUUUUGAAAAAAGUUGCCAGCGAUUUUGAUGAUUUUCACUAAAAUUUGAUGGCCCCCAGUAUAUUAAAGAAGAUCGGAGCCUCUACUUUAAUUAAAAAAAAAAAUAAAAAAUCAGUUUUAUUCUAGCUUAAAGCAUUCUUUUUUUUUUUUUUAUCAACACUUGAAUAUUAGAUAGGUUUCAUAAAAAUGCAUAUUUUAAAUAAAAAAAAAAUAUAUAUAUUUUUUUUUUUUUUUUUACCAAAAAAACUACAUAUGGAUAAUAUUCAGUGAGAUUAUCAAAGCAGAAAUCCAGUAAAUUGUUUUCCAUCAACACCUCCAAAGCUUGCACAGACAUAUACCACUUCCUGGAUCAACAUUUUACUCCGUAAAAUUAUGCAGUUUUCAUUUAUAUUCUGUCUAUUGCUGAUGAUCACAUUAUUUUUCAUAUACAUCUGUUAACGUAAGAGAUCACUCGUUUCUCCAUCCUGUUCACAUGUGUUUUUGUUCGGGAGGUUUUGUACUCCUUCAGAAGAUGUGUAAUAGCACCCUUCGAGUGUACAACAGUGGCGGGGAAGCAUUUUCUUCAAAAAGAUGAGAUAACUCGUCAAUGGCGUGGAAAGAGUUAAACAUGGUCUCCAUGCCAUGUACACAUGCUAUGUACAUAUAUUUAUCUAUCCUUACAAAAAAUUGCUCUUGAGAAUUUUUUUUUUAUUGUCCCCUCUACUGUUAGAUUAAAUCUACGCCCUUGAUAUUAAGUAAUGAUAAGGUAAACAUUAUGAUUUAUAGUGUUACCGAUGACUUUUAUGAUUGUGUUUGCUUUGUUUCAGAAUAAACAUACCUAACUCUCCAGAGGUUUCUGCAAUAAAAAGAGAAAAUACAGAGUGGCAUCAACAGUGAAAUGAACAGCUAUAGCUACAAAUAGAACAUAUUCAUGUGCUAACAUAACUACCAAAAAAGAGACUACCAUCAGUGUUUCUAAAUGAGCAGCAUGCACUGCAGCACUGUCUUCUUAUGUGUUUAUCAGCUCAACGCAACACAGCUGUAAGGUCUGUGCCAAGGUUUCACACCAAAAGACCACAUUUUACGUAAACAAAGAAUCUAUAUUUUCAUGUCAUUUGAUGUGAUUGGUGAAAUGACCACAUCUCAACAGUAGAGCAGAUCAUAAUAAAGUUUUAAGAGUUUAAAGAUAUUUUGUUGAUUUUGAGGGUGUCCUUCCUGGGGUCUUUCAUGUAAAUACCACAUGUAUUUAUGAGAUGUAGUGGAGUAAAAGGAAAUAUAGGUUUUAUCUAAAUUUUAUGUAGUAAAAUUUUUCCAAAGUAAACUACAGAUAUGUAUUUUUGAUUGAGCAAAAACACUUAAGUACUGUCCACCUCUGCACAGAACUGUUAUUUCAGGCUAAAUGAAUGUGUUUAAAUUGGAAGUUGUCUUACCUGUGAUUUUAGCCAUGUUUUCUUAAUGAACGUUCACUGGCAGCAUCCAACUGUAAGGACUCUAAAAUAAUGAGAAAAGAUGUGAUGUAAAAAGAAUCAACAAAAAAUAAGCCUAAAAAAAUUUUGUAACCGAAGGUGUGAAUUUACAAUCACCUCAUUUUUAUAUUAUAUUUUCAGUAAUCAGAUAAUGUUUUUUAGUACACUGAAAAAAAUUGGUUAUUGGUUAUGUUUACUCAGCAUACUCCGCAUGUUAAAUAAACAUGACUUUUACAUGAAAAAGUUACAUUUUUUGAUUUAAGUUCUCCACUUAUAUUUUUAGUUAAUCUGACUUUCAUUUAUCAUUUACACAAAAUUGUUAUAUUUUCAGAGCUCAACAGAAUGUUUAAAAAAGUUAUCGCACACAACCAAAGCAAACGCACUACUCUGAAAAGGGAACGCGAUCGUGGCUCAGGCUAAAAUUUAGACAGGGGGCCCAGAAAAUCUAGCGGCACCCCUGCUUCUGAACAAUGGUAAAACCAAAACUAAAAAAUCAAACUCUUCUAAAUCUCAAAGCGCACAUUAAACACUAUCAAGUCUUUCUCUUUACUGAAAGAUACAUGAAACAACACUUAACUGAGAAAUUACUCUCAAAAUGCAGUUUUAUGCAAUGCAUGCUGGGAAAUUAUUCAUGUAAUCCCAACUUGAAUGGAUUAAGUUACAUACAUCAAAAAUAUGCAAGAAAUGCUAUUGGGGUAUAAAUUCCAUAAAUCAGUGCUCUUUGGAUUCAGGAUUUUUGUAAUUAAUCAAAAAUUAAGAAUGCCAAGGCACUUGAAAAUAUAAUGAAAAAUAGAAAGUCUUUAUGUCAGGUGACACCCUAAUGAAGGCUUGAUAGCCACAAAGCGUCGUGUACUUGUGAUUGUUUUUAAUGUAAAGCCAUGUGAGAAUAAAGGCUUUUUAUUUUCAUUAUAUUUUCGGGUGCCUUAGCGUUAUGAGUUUUUUGACAGAUUAAGUUACAUGGGUGAACAUAAAAAAUGAUGUUGUGACAAAUGUUUUUAAAAAUUGGGUUGGAAUAUUGUGUUUAAAUUAAGUAAAUUGGAAAGCAAUAAAAUUCUUUUUUCAGAGUAGGGGAGCGCGGAGCACGACCUAACACUUUGACGUUCUCAGUUUGUGUAAAUCCACGUGGGUAUAAUUAUAAGAGUAUUAUUUUUUAGCCACAUUAAUUUCACACUUGUCUAGUACAAAUAUGUCACUUUGUUUCACUGUAAACAUUUUCCUUUAUUUAACUCAAAAAAUCGAAGUGAAAUGUGACAACAUGCCCAGUAGGUGGGGUACAUUGUAACGUUGUAACAUGACCAUAUAUCACAGUUUAAAAAGUUAUCUGAUCUAAUGAAAAAAUAUAUAUACACAAGACAAACUAAAAUAUUAUGUCAAUAAAGUAAAAUGAUUAACCUUUCAAAUAAAAUAAUGCCAUUUUUUAAGAACUAAAAAUAAUCUAAUUUUAGAGUCUGACAACGAACACUUUCUAACCGUGCUUGAGACAGCCCUGAUCGAAACACACAGCUGUACAGUAUAGCCUAGUUCAAAACAAUGUGACCAAAUAUAUGAAGAAACACAGACAUACACUCCCCUCCCUCCACACACAGCUCUCACACCGGACACACAAAGGAGCCAAAAUGCUUUACAUUAAACAUUGAUUGUCUUUAUUCCCCUGUUUCUCGUGGCUUUUCAUUAAAACUCAAAGUAAAUACUGUAAAUUAUAUCGCUAAUGUCAUAGAAUAACAUAGUUUAAUAGUAGCGGGGCACAUUGUAACGAAGUUACAACAUUCCC
ensembl:lncRNA